GAACCUUAACUUUUCUUCAGUUGUCGAAUAAAUCUUUCGCCUUUUAAUGAAGACUUCCGUAGAGAGGAGUAAUGAACCGGUCUAUAAAAAAUUUUUGAUAAAAAUAUUUCAGCGAAAGUUU